UACAGAGGUGGCAAGCGUUGUUCGGAAUUACUGGGCGUAAAGGGCGCGUAGGCGGCCAUCUAAGUCAGACGUGAAAUCCCCCGGCUUAACCUGGGAACUGCGUCUGAUACUGGACGGCUUGAGUUUGGGAGAGGGAUGCAGAAUUCCAGGUGUAGCGGUGAAAUGCGUAGAUAUCUGGAGGAAUACCGGUGGCGAAGGCGGCAUCCUGGACCAACACUGACGCUGAUGCGCGAAAGCCAGGGGAGCAAACGGG
rnacentral:rRNA from 1 species